rnacentral:lncRNA from 1 species
ACAUCUAUCUGUUGUAUGGUCUCAUUUUGAGUAAUAUCAAAGUUUUUUGUCCACAAAAGCCGAAGGGUGAUGUCCCGGACUCAGUUUUUUGAUUCCGUCCCGAAACGUAGACAAAAAAGACCAAUGUUAUGGCCUAGAAAGAGACGUUCCAACUUAGAAGUUGUGAAAGGUUUCGAAAGUUCACAUCUAACUACUAGUGGUCUCAUUUUGAGUAAUAUCAAAUUUUUUGCCCACAAAAGCCGAACGGUUAUGCCCCAAACUCAGUUGUUUGGUUCCAUCCCGAAACGCCGGAAAAAAGAGCCAAUGUUUUGGCCUAGAAAGAGACGACCCAACUUAGAACGAUAUUCAAAGGUCUCGAAAGUUCACAUCUAACUACUGGGUAAGAAGGCUAAUAUGAAAAGUCCUCUGAACAGAUGCAAAGAAUAUUGUGAUUGAUUUUUGUCCAUAUUCACUUUCUUUCUGUCUUUUAUUGAGCUCUCCUUUAUCGAAUUUUCUCUUUCUUUCUCUUCUUUAAGCAAGUCGUUCAUAUAAAAUAUGGUAUUCCAAAACUCUCAGUUUUAAAUCAGUUGUUAAUAAGAGAUUAUCGAGAGAUAUAGGUCAAAGAAAUUUCCAUCCUUGAAAAGAAAAAGUUAGGGGUCCAAAGAGAAAGCCUAUGCUAUAGAAGUUCAAAGAAAAAGACAGAAGUUUGAGCUAAUGUAAUAAAGAUGCGUCUUCUCAUUCCAAAGACUGGAUACAAUUUCUUUCAAUUAGGGAUAGCUCUAUGGGAUCUAUGGAAUAUCUCUCUCUCAAUCACCCAAGUAAAGAAGAGAGAAAGAUAAAUAAAGAUCAAUCCAAAGAUUUCUCUAUCACCUUCUCCUUCGAUCAAGUAGCUAUCGUCCCGAUUCAUAACCUGUAUCGAUGACUUGAGUUGCUUUGUUCGCGCUUGAGACAUAUUCUACCCUCCUACUUUGAAAGAGCCUUAAACCUCAAUUUUUCCUCUGGAGCCUAUGAGAACCUCUCCUUAGUCUAGACAACAGCCACUUCCUCUUUCUUUUAUGAUAAGACAAUGGAGGAAUAAAAUCGACGGUAGCAUAUUCCAACUUGGGAUAGACUUCUGACUAUUUUCCACAACUUUGAUGAAUGAAACUGAGACAGAUUCCACAUAAUGAAAGGAAACUACCACUGAAUCAACUACGAAUUCCCUGUCUGUGACCCUACAUCAAGUCUAGAGGACUCAUUCCCUUGAUUCCAAGACUUUUGGCUCUUCGGCAACUGCUACAGAGACAACCUCGUUCAUUGACUUUCUACCGAAAGAAAGAUCGAACUCUCUUGCUAGCAGAGAGCUUUUUUACGGAGUUUAUUCAAAAUGAACCAUGAGCUGCUCUUCCUCUUUCUUCUUCCUCAACUGGGACCGAUCCCCUUUUAUCUUACCAAUUUGCCUACCGCCUUAAUGAACAGGGAGAAUUGAGACUAAUAGGCUGUAGAUGUGUCUUUCAAUUAGUCUCCGUGUAGUGGA